rnacentral:rRNA from 1 species
AUAUUGGUCAAUGGGCGAGAGCCUGAACCAGCCAAGUAGCGUGAAGGAUGAAGGCUCUAUGGGUCGUAAACUUCUUUUAUAUGGGAAUAAAGUUUUCCACGUGUGGAAUUUUGUAUGUACCAUAUGAAUAAGGAUCGGCUAACUCCGUGCCAGCAGCCGCGGUAAUACGGAGGAUCCGAGCGUUAUCCGGAUUUAUUGGGUUUAAAGGGAGCGUAGGUGGAUUGUUAAGUCAGUUGUGAAAGUUUGCGGCUCAACCGUAAAAUUGCAGUUGAAACUGGCAGUCUUGAGUACAGUAGAGGUGGGCGGAAUUCGUGGUGUAGCGGUGAAAUGCUUAGAUAUCACGAAGAACUCCGAUUGCGAAGGCAGCUCACUAGACUGUCACUGACACUGAUGCUCGAAAGUGUGGGUAUCAAACAGG